rnacentral:rRNA from 1 species
GACGAACGCUGGCGGCGUGCUUAACACAUGCAAGUCGAACGGUAAGGCCCUUCGGGGUACACGAGUGGCGAACGGGUGAGUAACACGUGGGUGAUCUGCCCUGCACUUCGGGAUAAGCCUGGGAAACUGGGUCUAAUACCGGAUAGGACCACUGCCUGCAUGGGUGGUGGUGGAAAGCAUUUGCGGUGUGGGAUGGGCCCGCGGCCUAUCAGCUUGUUGGUGGGGUGAUGGCCUUCCAAGGCAACGACGGGUAGCCGGCCUGAGCGGGUGACCGGCCACACUGGGACUGAGAUACGGCCCAGACUCCUACGGGAGGCAGGAGUGGGGAAUAUUGCACAAUGGGCGGAAGCCUGAUGCAGCGACGCCGCGUGAGGGAUGACGGCCUUCGGGUUGUAAACCUCUUUCAGCACCGACGAAGCGCAAGUGACGGUAGGUGCAGAAGAAGGACCGGCCAACUACGUGCCAGCAGCCGCGGUAA